rnacentral:rRNA from 1 species
CCUACGGGAGGCAGCAGUGAGGAAUAUUGGUCAAUGGUCGGGAGACUGAACCAGCCAAGCCGCGUGAGGGAUGAUGGUACAGAGUAUCGUAAACCUCUUUUGUCAGGGAACAAAGGCGGGGACGUGUCCCCGGCUGAGUGUACCUGAAGAAAAAGCAUCGGCUAACUCCGUGCCAGCAGCCGCGGUAAUACGGAGGAUGCGAGCGUUAUCCGGAUUUAUGGGGUUUAAAGGGUGCGCGGGCGGGCUUGUAAGUCAGCGGUAAAAGCCCGGGGCUCAACCCCGGCCCGCCGUUGAAACUGGCAGUCUCGAGUUGGAGAGAAGUAGGCGGAAUGCGCGGUGUAGCGGUGAAAUGCAUAGAUAUCGCGCAGAACUCCGAUUGCGAAGGCAGCAUGCCGGCUCCACACUGACGCUGAGGCACGAAAGCGUGGGUAUCGAACAGGAUUAGAUACCCCAGUAGUC